rnacentral:rRNA from 1 species
GACGAACGCUGGCGGCGUGCCUAAUACAUGCAAGUCGAACGCACCCUCGUUUAGAUUGAAGGAGCUUGCUCCUGAUUGAUAAACAUUUGAGUGUGUGGCGGACGGGUGAGUAACACGUGGGUAACCUUCCCUAAAGUGGGGUAUAACAUUUGGAAACAGAUGCUUAUACUGCAUAAAACCUAACACCGCAUGGUGUAGGGUUGAAAGAUGGUUUCGGCUAUCACUCUAGGAUGGACUCGCGGUGCAUUAGUUAGUUGGUGAGGUAAAGGCACACCAAGACCGUGAUGCAUAACCGACCUGAGAGCGUAGUCCGCCACACUGGCAGUGAGAAACGGCCCAGACUCCUGCAGUAGGACACAGUAGAGAAUCUUACACGAUGGACGAGAGUCGGAUAGAGCAACGCCGCGUAAGUGAAGAAGGUUUUAGGAUCGUAAAGCUCUGUAGUUGGAGGAGAAUGUAAGUGCUAGUAACUGAGCAGAUAGUGACGGUAUCCAGAGAAUAAGCCACGGCUAACUACGUG